GGAGGAGUGGCUGAGUGGUCGAAAGCGGCGGUCUCGAAAACCGUUAACGGGCAACCGUUCGUAGGUUCGAAUCCUAUCUCCUCCGCCA
rnacentral:tRNA from 1 species